rnacentral:tRNA from 1 species
AGUUUUUAUAGUUUAAAAUAAAACAUUGGUCUUGUAAAUCAAAAUUAAGAAAUUUCUUUAAAAACUUC